GACUCAAUAGCUCAGUGGUUAGAGCAUGCGAUUGCAGAUCGCAGGGUCCCGUGUUCAAAUCACGGUUGGGUCU
rfam:Coniophora puteana RWD-64-598 SS2 unplaced genomic scaffold CONPTscaffold_10, whole genome shotgun sequence.